AGUAAGAUUUUUUUUUAUUUUGCUUUAAAGAAAAUGAAAGAUAGAUCAGAAACUAAAAAGUGUUCUAAAGCUAGCAGGAGUGCCUUUGUUACUUGAAGAAACCAGAGUUAAAUGCUCAUGAGAAUCUGGACUGCACCCUCAAAAUCGUUAAGAAAGGUCCAUUUGGGAAUACAAUAAUUCUACUUUAGAAGAAUUUUUGAGUACAACAAUAAUCAACAGACGUUUUAGAGGGUGUCAUUGAGAAGGUUUCCUGUGUGCUCAACAAAUGUGAGAUAAAUUGAAAAGUAACAUUGGAAUGUUGAUGAGAUGGCAUGAAAUGGAUCUUACAUGAUUCACUUCUUAAGAAAUGAACAAUGAAAGGAUAAAGAUUCCUGCACAGAACUUACGGACGUCAGUGUUGUUUGGUUUCAGCUGGAGAAAGUAGAGCCAAAAGUUCAGGUUGCAAUACUGGCAGCUGAGGAUCAAAGUAAAACAAUUUUGGUUGGGC